rnacentral:rRNA from 1 species
AUCGUACGGGAGGCAGCAGUGAGGAAUAUUGGUCAAUGGGCGUGAGCCUGAACCAGCCAAGUAGCGUGCAGGAUGCGGCCCUAUGGGUUGUAAACUGCUUUUAUACGGGGAUAAAAGGGUGAACGUGUUCUCCUUUGCAGGUACCGUAUGAAUAAGGACCGGCUAAUUCCGUGCCAGCAGCCGCGGUAAUCGAU